AUUCAUGGCUCAGAUUGAACGCUGGCGGCAUGCCUUACACAUGCAAGUCGAACGGCAGCACGGGGGCAACCCUGGUGGCGAGUGGCGAACGGGUGAGUAAUACAUCGGAACGUGUCCUGUAGUGGGGGAUAGCCCGGCGAAAGCCGGAUUAAUACCGCAUACGAUCUACGGAAGAAAGCGGGGGAUCUUCGGACCUCGCGCUGCAGGGGCGGCCGAUGGCAGAUUAGCUAGUUGGUGGGGUAAAGGCCUACCAAGGCGACGAUCUGUAGCUGGUCUGAGAGGACGACCAGCCACACUGGGACUGAGACACGGCCCAGACUCCUACGGGAGGCAGCAGUGGGGAAUUUUGGACAAUGGGGGCAACCCUGAUCCAGCAAUGCCGCGUGUGUGAAGAAGGCCUUCGGGUUGUAAAGCACUUUUGUCCGGAAAGAAAACCAUCGCCCUAAUAUGGUGGUGGGAUGACGGUACCGGAAGAAUAAGCACCGGCUAAUUACGUGCCAGCAGCCGCGGUAAUACGUAGGGUGCGAGCGUUAAUCGGAAUUACUGGGCGUAAAGCGUGCGCAGGCGGUUUGUUAAGACCGAUGUGAAAUCCCCGGGUCUAACCUGGGAACUGCAUUGGUGACUGGCAGGCUUUGAGUAUGGCAGAGGGGGGUAGAAUUCCACGUGUAGCAGUGAAAUGCGUAGAGAUGUGGAGGAAUCCCGAUGGCGAAGGCAGCCCCCUGGGCCAAUACUGACGCUCAUGCACGAAAGCGUGGGGAGCAAACAGGAUUAGAUACCCUGGUAGUCCACG
rnacentral:rRNA from 1 species